rnacentral:lncRNA from 10 species
GCCUGGCCGCCCAUCGUCUGGGACGUGAGGAGGCCCUCUGCCUGGCUGCCCAGUCUGGAAAGUGAGGAGCGUCUCUGCCCGGCCGCCAUCCCAUCUAGGAAGUGAGGAGCGCCUCUUCCCGGCCGCCAUCCCAUCUAGGAAGUGAGGAGUGGCUCUGCCCGGCCGCCCAUUAUCUGAGAUGUGCAGAGCGCCUCUGCCCCGCCGCCCCGCCCCGUCUGGGAUGUGAGGAGCGCCUCUGCCCGGCCACAACCCCGUCUGGGAGGUGAGGAGCGUCUCUGCCCAGCCGCCCCGUCUGAGAAGUGCUGUGUCCACUCAGGAUUAAAUGGGUCGGUGCAAGAUGUGCUUUGUUAAACAGAUGCUUGAAGGCAGCAUGCUCGUUAAGAGUCAUCACCACUCCCU